rnacentral:rRNA from 1 species
ACGGGGUUGCAGCAGGCGCGAAAACUUGACAAUGCGAGAAAUCGUGAUCAGGGAACUCCAAUUGUCCCCGUUUUUACGGGGUUCUGAAUUGACUCUAAACAGGUCGAGUAAUAGGGGCGGGAAAUAUCGGUGCCAGCCGCCGCGGUAAUACCGAAGCCCCAAGUGGUCGUCGUUCUUAUUGGGCCUAAAACGUCCGUAGCCGGUUUGGUACAUUCGUGGGUAAAUCAGACAGCUUAACUGUCUGAAUUCUGCGAGCACGGCCAAACUUGAGACCGGGAGAGGUGUAGGGUACCUGCGGGGUAGGGGUAAAAUCCUGUCAUCCCGUAGGGACCACCAGUUGCGAAGGCUCUACACUAGAACGGAUCUGACGGUCAGGGACGAAGCCUAGGGGCACGAACCGGAUUAGAUACCCGGGUAGUCCUAGGUGUAAACGCUGUGGACUUUGUGUCGGGAAUUCUUCGAGGAUUCUCGGUGCCGGAGUGAAGAUGUUAAGUCCACUGCCUGGGGAGUACGGUCGCAAGGCUGAAACUUAAAGGAAUUGGCGGGGGAGCACUGCAACGAGAGGAGCGUGCGGUUUAAUUGGAGUCAACGCCGGA